GAGCAUCACAAUGGCAGUGCGCGUGCGCACGCGGAUUCUGGGACUUGUAGUUCUAGCCCCCGCUGCAACGGCCGGCCUGUCCUGAGGAGAGUCGUAAGGGCGCAGUGCUUCUGAGAGCUGACUUAAGGAGAAAGUACUAGGGAUCGAACCUAGACCAUCAUCACACAUUCUAGGCAAGUACUUUAUCACUGAGCCAUAGCUACACCCCAGCAGUUAUGAUUUUUAGAAUAUUAAAUUCUAUGUUUUUACUCAUGUUUUUAUGUAUUUAUUUUUAAUGUGCAUUUUUUGGUGUUUGGCCUGUAUAAAUAUGUCUGAGGGAGUUGGAUCCACUGGAACAGGAGUUACAGUUGUGAGCUGCCAUGUGAUUGAACCUGGGUCCUCUGGAAAAGCAGCCAAAACUCUUAAUCAUUGAGUCAUCUCUCCAGCCCUGUCAGGUGUUGGGUUUUUUUUGGGGGGUGGGGGGUUACUGGGAAUGGAAUGCUCAGGGCUUUUUUGUUUUGUUUUGUUUGGUUUGGUUUAGUUUGGUUUGGUUUGGUUUGGUUUAGUUUUAUUCCCCCUUGUAUGCAACAGGAAAGUAAUCCAUACUACAGCAUUACGUCCUUAUAGGUUCGUUAGCUCAUUGGUUUGCUUGGUUUUAUUGAGACAAAGUCCCACCACGAACACAGGCUAGCUUCAAAUGUCCCAGCAUGCUUCCACCUCCCAAGUGCUGGGAUUAUGGGCUCGUGCCCACUCUGCCCAGCGUUAUAUUCAGUUUUGAAAUAAGAAAUGGGGAGGCAGUGCUGUGAUCCCUGAUGACGUGUGCCUCUUGGCAGUCGAGAAAAAGCUCUGUGAUUUCUAGGGUUUGGGAUUAGCUCGCUACUCCAAACACUGAACCACUCACACUGUCACUGCUGUGAUUUUGAGACCCUGAAGUUUGGCAGGCUGGCAGUGCUAAUGGCGCCCCAUAGUAAUCAGAGUCUACCACUGAGGGGAGGGGAGCAUUUUUAUAAUAAUUUUGUUAAACUAAACUAAACCAACACCCCGCCCCCCAAAAAAGCCCAAAUCAAACAACAAUGAAACUCACAAACCUAUUUUUGCAGAAAUUAAUUCUUGGAGUGGGAGUAUAGAGCACUUGCCUGGCAUGCUCAAAGUCCCGAGUUUGAUCCCCACCCAGUACUGCAGUGAUUAAUGGAAAGCUAAAUACUAAUAAGUACAAAACUACACAGUGCUCUCGCAUACUUUGUAUCAACUUCCAAACCCAUGCUCUAAGUACUUCUGGUUUUCCCUUAAAGGUUUGUUGUUUUGUUUUGCCUGUGUGUGUGUGUGUGUGUGUGUGUGUGUGUGUGUGUGUGUGUGUGUGUGUGUAUGAGAGAGAGAGAGAGAGAGAGAGAGAGAGAGAGAGAGAGAGAGAGAGAGCGAGCUCAUGCUUAAGUACCUGGGAGUCGAAUUCAUGUCCUCUGGAAGAACUAACUAUACAUGCUCUUCUCUCAGCCUGGGCUUUUUUUUUUUUUUCAAUCUUCUGCUUUAAGAUGGUUAUAUAUUGCUUUAUUGAUUUUUUUAAGGCCUACCCAGAAACAAAACAAGGUUCAAUUGCCAAGACUUCAGAAGAGAGGAGAGAGAGGACACACUUUUGUUUAUUUAGUCCUGGCACUCUAAAUGUAAACCAGGCUGGUAUCAGACUUAUGGAGAUUGGCUGGUCUCUAUCCUAAGAUUAAAGGGGCACACUCUUCGUAACUUUAUUUUAGCAGUGGUAAAUGCACAGAACAGAGUCUGGCUUCCUGGUUGCAGGGCUGCAUUCCGGGGGAGCUGCUGCCUGUCCUCAGCACUAACUACGGUGUGCACUGUUACACCUGCUCUUUACAAGUCAGGCUGCUGGUAUACUGGAGGGUAUAGAGAUCCAGUGGGAGACAGGAGCUUGAUCCAGUGAGUUCUGAGUCCUGCCUCAACCCCCUUCCCUGAGUUCUUUGUAAUAACUGUGCAUUUCCUCCAGAUACAUGAAUAUCAUGCUUUUCAUAUCUUGGUAUUUUAAUAUCAGUGCAUGUUUUCAUUUCAUUCCAUUUCCCCAACACAAGGCAGAGUCACUCUCAUCUUGAUGCCCAGGCUGUGCUCAAAUAUGUUGGCCUAAGUGAUCUUCCCAGCCUACUGAGUAGCUGGCCAUCCAAUUCUCCCCCACACCCCUCUCUGUCUCUGUCUCUGUGUCUCUGUGUCUCUCCUCCCUCCUCCUCUCUCCCCUCCCUCCCUCCCUGUCUCUCCUCCUUCCUCUCUGUCUCUACACACACACACACACACUUUUCAUUUAGCUGUACCUCACCUCACAUGAUUACUCCUGUGGUUUUGAGAGGGGGGCCAUUUGCAUGGAGCACUUAUCGAACUUCUUCACACUCAGUACCUGCAUAUCUUGUUCUGUUUUGGCACUUAUUUACUGGCUUUUGAAUGUAUAUAUAUGGAUAUAUGUGUGUGGUCACAUGUGCUAUGGUAUGCAUGUGGAGAUCAGAGGACAGCUUGUGUAGUCAGUUCUCUACUACUUGUGGGAAUCUUUCUGAAUAAGCAUCAAACACCAAUGAGAGUGGAAGAGAUUUCCCCAGUGGACCAAGGCCAGGAUAGCUCCUGAAAGGCUUCGAUUCUGGAUCCAGUUUGCAUUCUCAUUUUACAUUCGAAAACCAGAAGGCGGGCCAAGCAAGCAAGCAAUAUUUUACAGUGUAUGUUCCAGUCAGCAGGUUGUUAAGGGCAACAGCCCAUUGUUCCAGCUAUUUCUCCAUGUCAUUGUUUCAGGUGGCAAGUGACAUCAUGCUUGGCAAACAGGCAGUACAAGCAGUACUGUAAGUAAAUCACUUAUUCAGCAUUUAAUAAAUGGUCUUCUCUACUUUCUUCUUCUUCUCUACCAUGUGUGGUCUGGGAAUGGAGUUCAGAUUGUCAGUCUUGGUGGUCAGUGCUCACCCUGGUCCACUGUGUGCCCUACUAAAUGUGAAAUCAAACCAUGUCCUUGUAAGCAACAUAACUUGGGUAUAGGUUUUUCAUUCGAAUUAAUCACUCUGUCUUGUAACUGUAGAAUUCAUUUCAUCGGUUAGUAAUUUGAUGUUAAACAAUUAUGUAACAUAUCUUCUAGUUUUGAGUUCUUUUCUUUCUCUCUUAGACUUUUCCUUUUGGCUAAAUGAUUUACUCUAUUGAUAUUUUGAUCACUUACUAUUUUCUGUUUCUCUGCUUUAGACUUUUGUUUUCUGGUUACUAUACUCAGAGUUUAGUUAACAAGCUGAUCUGCAUGACAGCAGUGUAAUGCAAAGGGAAACGACAUUAAGCAGCAAGCCCUAUGCUUUCGAGGUCGCUCUUCCUCACUGAGCUUUGACUGCUUCGUUUCCCAUCUUCCUAUUUGACUCGUCUGCAAUGCUUCAUGUUAAUUAUCAGCUUGAUGAGAUCUAGAAUUACCUGGGAAAUGAACUUCUGCGCAAUUGUCUUGAUUAGCUGAGUUGAAUCAGGAAGGCCUGCCCACCAUGGUGAGGGGGACAGACCAUUACCUGAGCUGGGAUACUAGCCUGUACAAAAAAGGACAGAGUGAGCUGAGCCCAAGGAUUGGUUGCUUCACACUCUCUGCCCAUACAAUGUGACAAGCUACUUAAGCUCCUCUUAACUGUGAAUCAAAAUAAACUUUCUAAAGUUGUUUUUUAUCAGUGUAUUUUUAUCACAGCAAUAGAAGAGUAAGACACUUUUGUAUGUCUUUUUUUUUUCUCAGAAACAUGGCUAUGUUAUGGAGGCUGGCACCCAAACUUACAGGCUCAAGCGAUCUUUUUGCCUCAGACUCCUGAGUAAUUGGGACUGCCAGGCACAAACAACCCACUGUCCUUGGCUUGUAGAAUCUUUUUUUUAAAUCUUCUAUUGGUUAAUAGUGUUUGACCUACUGUUUUACAAUACUAGAACAUUCUGAAUUUAUCUGUACAGUCACUCUUGCCUGUGAGUUAGUAUCUUUUUUCUGUCUUGUGGCACUGGGAAUCAAACCCAGGGUCUUACACAUACUAGGCAGGUAAGUGGUCUACCUGACUAAACUCUUAUCCCCAAAGUCUUUCUAUUCCAUGAGUUCCCUUUAGCAUUUUUUGUAGGACAGCUCUGGUAGAGAUAGAUUCUCUUAGCUUUUUAUUUGGAAAUAUCUUUUUUUCUCUUUCAAUCCUGAAGGCUAGCUUUAUCUUGGCUGAUUUUCCCUCAUCAGUACUAAGUACAUCUUAAGUAUUUCCUCUUUUCUUACAAGAUUUUUUAGAAGUUUGCCAUCAGGUAAACAGAGACACGGUUAUGCUUGCUUGUUUUCUCUUGCAGUUUUGAGAAUAUUUAUAUUUUAUACUUUUGAGAGCUUAAUUAUGAUAAUGGGGUAAAACUUGGUUGAAUCAAAACCUUCCAGUUUUGUGCUAUGUCAUAAAAUGUGUUUAAUGUAGGCAUGGAAUACUACCUGAAAAUAGUAUGUAUAAAUCUACACAUGGUGAUGAAAUGUACAGUUAAAAAGUUUGGAGGCCAUUAACCCUAGAAGUCUGUGUCUUGAACAAACUUUAACCUGGCUGUGGUGACAUAUGCCUAUAAUUCCAGUAGUUGAGAGGUGGAGGUAGAAGGAUCAGGAGUUCAAGGCCAGCCUUACGUCAUGAGUUGGAGCCCAGCAUGAGCCCCAUGAGACUGCCUAAAACAAACAAACAAACAAACAAACAAAAAUGGCUGGGCUGACACACGUUUAAGCAUAACUUCUUUCUAGGUAGGCUUUUUAUACUUCAAACCCAAAUCCCCAAACAUGAGAAGUCCCUUUUUUUCUUUUUAAAUAUACACAUAUAAGAUAUUUUAUUUCAAAAAGCACAAGAACAUUAUACAAGUUUUUAAUUUACAUUUUUGCAAUAAAAGAUAUCAAUAUAUGCAUCAUUUGUAUAACUUCAUCAUGAAUGGAAUUUGAAUCAGUGGUAUAAACAUGUUGCAGUCACUAAAUAUAGAUCAUCAUCAUCACAGUGAACCAAAAUGCAUAGUUGUUAUGAAAUGACAAAUGACCACUAAAAGGUGAACUCACAGCCCAUACACUAACAUAAUAAAUUAAUUAUACAGAUAUAUGUUUAUCUUUAAUAUCAUUAAAAUCCUUGCUAGGCCCUCGGAGCCAUCCUACUAAACCAAUUCUUUCACAUUCUACACUAAAUAAAGUGACUUGGUUGCUUAGGUAAACUUCUUAGCAGACUUAAAUCGUUUGUCAUGAUGAAUACUGUUAAAAGUCCCUUGGGCUGGGGCAGCACUGUGGCCUACGUCCACCCUCCAGUGCAGAGACUUCCAUCUCAAGAAGCAGAACUCAGCAAUGGAUUAGGUUCUUUGGCUGGUGCUAGCUAGUCCUCCUGGCAGCUGGAAAGCUUAGCUCCAGGGUUUACAAAUUAAAUCUAAGAAGGCUAAAAAUAAGAAGUCUUUAUCCUUGGCAAAUGGGGCCAGAUGACUAAGGCAGAAAUGAGCAUCUUCUGUUGCCUAUUCUAGCCCAGAUUUCAGAGCUAAACAAUCUCUCAAAAAAUUAUAGAAAAAACAAAGGGCAAUGUUCAAAUCACUUAAUCAUAUUGGCAAAUGGCACAAGCCAAAUACUGAAUUUACUGAUUGUUAUUAUAAUUGCUGUGAACUGUUCAUUAUGGUUCAUCUAGUUCUGCUUUCUUCUGAAUAGUAUUUAUCCAAGUAGGAAAUCAUGAUUGUGAGUCUGCUGCCCGCUCACACCGAUCCCUUACUGCAAAAUCCACUUCUCAUUCCAUAAAAAUGGCAACAAAUUUAGCUCCAAAUGUGCACCACUGAUCACUUAGCAAAUGCAUUUUUACUUCCUUGCCUUCACUAAACAGAAGGCAGGAAAACACUUAGACAUACACAUGGCAGCAGUAGCCAAGGGCGAAAGAAGAUACAAUCUCCAAACACAUCUUUCAAAAGCAAUAUUACCCAAUACCACAGAAGCUAAAAUAAGUAUCAACUGAUCUACUCACAAGUUCUUGGUAUAAAACGUUAAAGCCAGGAAUCAAGAAGUCUAUGCACAGACUCAAGAGAGCUGUAUUAUUUAUAAGCAAGAUGGCUCAACCAUAGCAGGUUAUAACAGGACACAGACCUGAUUACAUUGCCCUUUUUUUUUGACUGUUCAUAUUAAAUCACAAACUGUAGUUUAUGAAAGGUUUCACAUAGACAUAUCAAGGAUCUCUUUCUUACAAGCCAUAGAAGGAUGCAGGCUUAAAUACGAGUGUUCUAAUUUCAUCUUGUAUGACCAUUCACUGGGGCAAUUUUCUGAUUCUCAUUCUACAAAGAGUUUGUUUCAGAACAGUAAGUUUUCUGAGAGUCAAUAGGAUGGGGCCACAAGAGAAAGAGAUCGGACUGCAGAAACCUGCCUUAAAAAAUGGAACGGAUGGUUAACUUGUGACUCCACGGAGCUACCAGGAAUCAGGUGAGGAUAACAGACAGGCUUUUUGUAUAAGGAAUGCAUAAUGAGUACAUUCUCCUAAUUCUUCUUGAGGUCUACAUGGGAAGGAUGCUUUCCAGACUAGCACAACUAACACUGUCUAUGUAGAGAUUUAGAUCAGUUUCUGGCUGAAGCCAUAGGUGGUACAACAAGGAUAUUUCCUUAAAGAAGAAGGCUGUUUACAUGUUUUGAAGUCUUUUCAGUUGAGAGAUACUGCAUAGCUGUGCAAUUCCUCUUUAGACAUCACAGGUGAUCAGCAUCGUGCCAGAUCUAAUGCUAAAUCACACUCGGAAAACACCAAAUACACAAGUGCAGAGACGUUAACCAGACAAAGAAAUGUCCACAAAUGCUUGUAGUGACCUCAUCAACCAGGUGGAUGAUUUGAAAUGAGAUAGGACAGUUAUGAAAGGAAACGAGUUUUCUGGAAAUAUUAGCAGAAAUAGACACUUGGGUGAACAAGCAUUUCUUUAGUGUUCUAGAACAUAAACCAUUAUGUCUUGUUUUUUCCUUGAAGCUUAUGUUUGAUAAUUGAAAGCAAUAUUCCAUUAAGGAAUAUUUUAUUAAUGUAUGUGAAUCUGGACAUGGGUCAAAAGACCCUCCAAUACUUCCCCAUCCUUAGAAAGUUGUCUAGAAUUUUAGAUCAGUCUUUAUUGUUGAUGUCACUCAUGAUUGUCCUGAGGCAGAGCUGGAGCUCAGAGUAACUGCCAGUUGAAUCCAAACAGCAUCUGAUUAGUCUCCUGGCUCCGAGCAAUCUCUUCUAUAAUGCAGUGCUGUUGCCAGACCAAAUGCAGCUUCCGAUACCGCUCCCGAGAUAAAUGAAGUGGGUUUCCCCUCCUUCAGGAAAAAAUAAACAAAAAUGACAUCUAAGCUUUAAUCAAUACCAAUGACAUCUCUUAAGUCAGCACACAAUGCAGACAUCCCUGCAGCUGUGAGCACAAGGACAGGGCUGAGAAACGGCAACUCCUCAUGAUUACUAAGAAUGUGGUAUACCGCUUAGUUAAGGAAGCAGAAGUGGACUCCUUGACUAUUUGGGAAAUCAGGCCUCAUACAUUAUGAACAUAAUAAGACCUCAUUUAAACAGGUUCUAACUUGAAGCAGCUCUGGUCUUUUCUGGUGGGCUCCAAUGGCUUUCUGUCAAUUGAUACAGUGUCCAGGUUGGGUUUGAACAGUGAUACUCCAAUGACCCUCCUGCUUCAUCCUCCCAGUUAGCAGGGCGACAUCAUCAUGCCUGGCUUAGCAAAUGUUUUAAGUAACUACAUUUCUAUUCCAGGGCUACCUAGUUUGCAACACUGUGCCAGCUAACCUAGAAAGCCUCAAGUCUGUUGAGCACAGUAAUAGAGAUAACUGGCAUCUCAGCCCCUGGGACAUCAACACUUUCAUCAUUAACUUAAGAAUUCUACAUUUUUGUACUUUUCUAGAACAGCUCAAGAUUUUCAUCAGUUAUUAAAUAUUUUGUUGUUGUUGCUAUUGGUUUAGACUCUCACCAUGUGGCCCUGGCUGGCCACUAUUUAGAUCUGAUGAGCCAGAGACCCACCUGCACUUGCCUCUUGUGUACUGAAAUUAAAGGUGACCUUCACCCUGACCAGCAUUAACUACUUUUACCACGCAGUACUCCCUUAAGCUUCAAGUCCAAUGCUGUCUCAAUAAAAACAAAUCCCUAUAUGAGCCAACAGAUCCCAAGUCCUAUCUAGUGAAUGUACUCAUUUUGGACGAUAUUUUAAAAGAAUAAUAAAGUUUGGGAGAGAACUUUGUCAGUAAGGUGCCUGCUGUGCAAGUGAGGACCUAAGCUCAAGGCCCCUAACCUACAUAACAUGAGUGUGAUGGCAUGAGGUACUGACCAGCCUGCUAGAAUCCGUGAGCUGUCAAGGGUCUCACAGGGCCAGGCAGGCUGGAGAGUGGGGUCAGUGGUUUAGUCACUACUGUUGCAGAAGAGGUUCAGUUCUUAGCACCUAAAUGACAGCUCACAACCAUCAAUAACUCUAUUUCUAGGUUUGUAUAUUUAAAGAACUGCUAAUAUACAAUAAAGCAAAUGAAAUAUAAGAUGACUGAUUAAACCUUCUAUUAAAGGAAAAUCUUACUUUAGCCCUGGGUCUGUUUCUCCAUAUUCAUCCAAGUAAGGGGCUGGGUAGGCACAGCCUCUGGCUUUUCCUUCUACCAGGACCACUCUGCAUUCUCUGAUUCUGAAAAAGAAAACAAAUGUUAGGAAACACUGUUAGAUACAUACAUGCAAAUGAUAGUCACUGAAUCAAAGUUAAAGUUAAGACAUGGUCAGUAAGCUUUUAAAAAUCAAUAAAAAGGCAACACAGCCAUGGAUGAACACACUCAACUAUGGGCGUUGUUGGUUUUUUGGUUUGUUUUUUUUUUUUUUUUUUUGGUUUGUUUUUGAAGUUCUCUCUGUGUGUGUAGCCCUGGCUGUCUUGCAACUCAGCAACUUGGCUGCCCUUGAACUCAUCCCCAACCUCUACCUCCCUAGUGCUGGGAUUAAAAGGCGUGUGUUAUCACCAUCCAGCAGUAAGCUGUAUUUUGUCUGAGUAGAAGGAAGAGACACUGCUGUUUUUCUUGAUGCAAUAGAAAAGGAUCCAUGAAUCUAGAAAAAUGGGAAGUCAGUAAUUCCGGCUGGAUUUACUAAAAGGGAGACUGUCCUGUGAGCCAUAGGACCCUGGAGAAAUGUGGCUAGGGCUAUUUCUGCCUUUUUCUAACUUGUUACUUAGGCAGAAGGGGGCUUCAAAACAAGACAGAGCAUCCUCCAGUCUAGAACUGUCGACCAAGGAAAUGUUCAAGGCUUUCCUAGUUGAAGCCUCCAAUUUUUUGAGGGCACUGAGACACUUACUGUGGAGAAAUGGUUAAAGACCACAAUGAGAACUCAUAUGGCAAAUCAUAAAUAUACAGUUGAGAUAAGUAGAACUUGUUCAUGUGGCAUCUCUAGCAUAACUUCUAUGCCAUUCUUUCCUCUCGUUUCAAAGGUUGCCUUUAAGCAAUGAUAAUAUAUCGUACAAUAAGCCUUUGGGGUUUAUACAGACAAAAAUUAAAUUUCACAGGUUAAGUGGACAGAGAAAACACAAAAAUCUACUUUAAAUUUUAUUUCUCCCAUGCGAGGUAUCUUCUUUUAUAAGCAUUUAUUACUAUUGUUCUAAGUAGUCAAUCUUUUGUUUAAAGAAGGAAAUAAAAACAUCUAAAAGACAUGUUUAGGCCAGAAGGCACUUGGGAGGCAGGAUCUCUGGGAGUUCAAGGCCAGCCUGGUCUAUAUAGAGAGAACCUGUCUCAAAAAUAAAUAAAUAGCUUGGUAUGGUGGCCCAUGCAUUAAAUCCCUGCACUCUGGAGGCAGAAUCAGAAGAUAUCUGUAAGUUCCAGGCCAGCAUGGACUACAAAACAAGUUCCAAGACAACCAGAGCUACACAGAGAAAUCCUGUCCCAAAAAGCCUAAAUAAACAAGUAAAUACAUACAUAAAUAAUACAGUCUAAAGUUAAUAAUUUACACAUACUUUAUAAACAUAAGUUUUAAGAUUUCAAGCUUUCCCUUUAUAUCUAAAUAUUACACAGAACUGGAAUCACUGAUAUAAAGUCUAUACCAUUUAAGACCUCUCUAACAACGAAGGAAAUGUAAACAGAAUCUUAUUUUUUUUUUAAAGAACUACUUAUUCUAUUGGCAUAUUCACUGGAUAAGACCCCUCAUGAGCUUCCAAAUGACUAUACUCACUUUAGGAAAAUGCAGACUCCAGCACCACACUGAAGUGCAUGAAAAACGCACGCUCCAACCUCCUCCCCAUUCACGAUUUCUUGGCAACAGAUGUUCUGAGAACACAGGAUGGCCCCACAGAAAAGACAGAGGACAGGGUGCUUUCGCUCAUCAUCUGAAGACCGUGGACACCUCAACAGGGGAAGACAUACCAUUCAGUGUGUUGGAAAACCAGAACCAGAUUAUGUAUCUAUUUAGUAAUAAACAUGUUUUUUUUUUAUCAUUCACCCUACUCAGCAAAGAAAGCUACUAAAAGACAAAGGACGUUUAAAAUGAUUGCUCAUUUAUUUUACUUGAAGGGGACAUUAAAGAAAUCAAGGGGCUAAGGAGAUGGCUCGGUGGUUAAGGGAGUGUUCUGCUCUUGCAGAACAUGAGUUCAUUCUAGCAUCACAUAACUGCCUGUAACUACAACUCCAAAGGAUCUGAUGCCCUCUUCCGGCCUCCAUGGAAAUUUGCACACACGAAGCAUAUACAUACAUCAAUAUAUGUAACUCUCCAAAAAAAAAAAUUUUUUUUUUUAACUUAGCUCCACUUAAAGGAGGCCUAUGUCACCAGAGAAUCUUGCUCCAGGUUACCAGUCAGCAUAGUCUCCUGAGCCAGGCUCAUCUAUGCUGCCCACUGCUCAGGGACUUUGCUCUAGCUCAACCUCCUAUACCAAGUAACAGACCCCAGUGUCCCCUGCUUGAGCCACCGUAUGCCUGGGAACCUCCUGUGCCAGACCUGUACUGCUCUUUACCUUGGUGAGAGAAGUUCCUUACUGCAGUGGGUAGUGUUAAUACACAGAACUGCUCAACAACAGGGCAGGAAUUAGCAACUGAGAUGGCUCAGCCACAGACAGAGCAUGUAUAUCAACCUGCCCUACAGGUGCUGGGAAAUGCUGUCUCCUGAUCCUGGCCUGGCUGCUGUGUGCAUAAAUGCAUAGCAGCUGCCAUCACCUGCACAGUUAAUUCCAGCCUGGGGCCUGGGUCAGCUCAGUGGUUAAGCACACUUGUUACUCUUACAGAGAAGACACAAGUUCCAAUUCCUACCACCCACAUGUGACUCACAACCAUCUGUAGUUCUAGGAAUCCAAUGCAUUCUUCAGGUAACCAUGAGUAUUAGGCAUGCGCAUGGUGCACAUAUAUACAUAUAUGUGCAAAACCCUCAUAUGCAUGAAAAAUAAAAUCCAGCACAGAGUAAGGAGGGCCUACUGAGCCCCCAGCUGAGGAGCUACUGGAAGCUGAUGUCUGCUAGGGUAGAGUCACUUUUCUUGGUGGUGAGGGGUGGGGUGGAGCCACUAGUAGGAUGCCUAUCCCCUAUAUCCACACUCAUAUGGGCAGCACUAAUAGGGCUCUAUUAGCUAGAAAAACAAGAGUGUCAAGUUUCGAGGAAGAUGUGUUUGAAGAGACCUGGCAGAAUUGGAGGAGGGUAAUAUGGAGAGUGGAUAUGAUCAAAACACACCAUGCAUGAAAUUUUCAAAGAAUAAGUAGCAGGAUGUAGUAUCCUGAUUGAGCUUGGAUACAGCCUAAUGACAAAGGCUUUUAAUAAACUCCAGCAACACACACACACACACACACACACACACACACACACACACACACACACACACACAAAACCCAUACCUCUAAUUAAACCAUAGUAAGAAAAUUCAUUAUUAAAUAUACAGUUAGUAGGCUUGGUGGCAGCUCCCUUAUCAUUGGUCACUUUUUCACAAUAAGUUCAUUGGUUGUAGGGUAGGCCAAAUGCAAACUCAGGAAAGUUAUUGCGCUCUCUCUCUCUCCUCUCUCUCAUGCACGCACACACAUAAAUAAACACACACACAUACACAUACACACACACACACACACACACACACACACACACACACACACACACAC